rnacentral:rRNA from 1 species
UACGGGAGGCAGCAGUGGGGAAUAUUGCACAAUGGGCGCAAGCCUGAUGCAGCCAUGCCGCGUGUAUGAAGAAGGCCUUCGGGUUGUAAAGUACUUUCAGUCGUGAGGAAGGUGUUAAGGUUAAUAACCUUAGCAAUUGACGUUAGCGACAGAAGAAGCACCGGCUAACUCCGUGCCAGCAGCCGCGGUAAUACGGAGGGUGCGAGCGUUAAUCGGAAUUACUGGGCGUAAAGGGCACGCAGGCGGUUAAUUAAGUUGGAUGUGAAAUCCCCGGGCUUAACCUGGGAAUGGCAUUCAAGACUGGUUAGCUAGAGUCUUGUAGAGGGGGUAGAAUUCCAUGUGUAGCGGUGAAAUGCGUAGAGAUGUGGAGGAAUACCGGUGGCGAAGGCGGCCCCUGGACAAAGACUGACGCUCAUGUGCGAAAGCGUGGGGAGCGAAA